AAAAUGUAAAAGCAGCUCAGCAAAAUGAUCAUCAGUACCAUGUUCUUUGGGGCUGUACCGUUACGCUGCUCUUCAUACAGCAUCUUCCCACCAUGUAUGACAGCAUCAGCAAUUCAGUAUCUGAAAGAAAAACAAAAGUGCU